rnacentral:rRNA from 1 species
GAUGAACGCUGGCGGCGUGCCUAAUACAUGCAAGUCGAGCGAACAGACGAGGAGCUUGCUCCUCUGACGUUAGCGGCGGACGGGUGAGUAACACGUGGAUAACCUACCUAUAAGACUGGGAUAACUUCGGGAAACCGGAGCUAAUACCGGAUAAUAUAUUGAACCGCAUGGUUCAAUAGUGAAAGACGGUUUUGCUGUCACUUAUAGAUGGAUCCGCGCCGCAUUAGCUAGUUGGUAAGGUAACGGCUUACCAAGGCGACGAUGCGUAGCCGACCUGAGAGGGUGAUCGGCCACACUGGAACUGAGACACGGUCCAGACUCUUACGGGAGGCAGCAGUAGGGAAUCUUCCGCAAUGGGCGAAAGCUUGACGGAGCAACGCCGCGUGAGUGAUGAAGGUCUUCGGAUCGUAAAACUCUGUUAUUAGGGAAGAACAAAUGUGUAAGUAACUAUGCACGUCUUGACGGUACCUAAUCAGAAAGCCACGGCUAACUACGUG